AACUGCAAGGAUUACCAAAGGAGCGGCAGCUGGUACCUGCACUGACUAAAUGAUUGGAGGUGCCAUGUCCAGGGACACACUUACUCAGUUGUGUUACUGUGAUGAUCCGAUAUGGUGUUGUGAUGAUCCGGUAGGGUAUUUUCUGUUUUAACCUUUAUCUCUUUGUUCCGAGACCUCGAUUUGCAUGCAUAGUCCGUAUCUUUUUAUGUGAAAAAUUUAUGAAACAGUGAAAAAUUGCCUUAAAACUCAUUUGAGUUGGCUACUAUCAACGUUUUGUGUAAAUGGAUCUGUUUAGUAUUUUCACGGUCCCAGUGAAUUCGUAUCGUGAUUAUGGACUUGGGCGUAUACUUGGAAUCGAAUUCGGAAGUCCCUAAC
rnacentral:lncRNA from 1 species